rnacentral:rRNA from 1 species
UACGGAGGAUCCAAGCGUUAUCCGGAAUCAUUGGGUUUAAAGGGUCCGUAGGCGGUUUGGUAAGUCAGUGGUGAAAGCCCAUCGCUCAACGGUGGAACGGCCAUUGAUACUGCCAGACUUGAAUUAUUAGGAAGUAACUAGAAUAUGUAGUGUAGCGGUGAAAUGCUUUAGAUAUCGUCCAGAACACCGAUAGCGAAGGCAGCUUACUAAGGAGUAACUGAAC